rnacentral:rRNA from 1 species
GUGCCAGCAGCCGCGGUAAUACGGAGGAUGCAAGCGUUAUCCGGAUUUAUUAGGGUUUAAAGGGUGCGCAGGCGGACGAUCAAGUCAGCGGUAAAAUUUCGGGGCUCAACCCCGUCCGGCCGUUGAAACUGGUUAUCUGGAGUGCGACAGAAGGAUGCGGAAUGCGAGGUGUAGCGGUGAAAUGCAUAGAUAUCGCGCAGAACUCCGAUUGCGAAGGCAGCGUCCUAUGUCGUAACUGACGCUGAGGCACGAAAGCGUGGGGAUCGAACAGGAUUAGAUACCCUGGUAGUCCACGCAGUAAACGAUGAGUACUAGCUGUUUGGUUAGAGUGAUAAUUGAGCGGCACAGCGAAAGCGUUAAGUACUCCACCUGGGGAGUACGCCGGCAACGGUGAAACUCAAAGGAAUUGACGGGGGCCCGCACAAGCGGAGGAACAUGUGGUUUAAUUCGAUGAUACGCGAGGAACCUUACCCGGGCUCAAACGACAGGGGCAUAAUUUGGAAACAGAUUAGUCAGCAAUGACCGCUGUCGAGGUGCUGCAUGGUUGUCGUCAGCUCGUGCCGUGAGGUGUCGGCUUAAGUGCCAUAACGAGCGCAACCCCCAUCUUCAGUUACUAACGGGUUAUGCCGAGGACUCUGGAGAGACUGCCGGCGCAAGCUGCGAGGAAGGCGGGGAUGACGUCAAAUCAGCACGGCCCUUACGUCCGGGGCGACACACGUGUUACAAUGGCGGGGUACAGAGGGAAGCCAUGUGGCGACACAGAGCAGAUCCCGAAAACCCGUCUCAGUUCGGAUUGGAGUCUGCAACUCGACUCCAUGAAGCUGGAUUCGCUAGUAAUCGCGCAUCAGCCAUGGCGCGGUGAAUACGUUCCCGGGCCUUGUACACACCGCCCGU